AACCAUAGAAACCUGCGGAGUACCUGCGGAGGGAUCAUUACCGAGUGCGGGCCCCUCUGGGUCCAACCUCCCACCCGUGUCUACCGUCCCUUGUUGCUUCGGCGGGCCCGCCCUUUGUGGCCGCCGGGGGGCCUCGCGCCCCCGGGCCCGUGCCUGCCGGAGACAUCAGCCUGAACACUGUGUGAAGGUUGCCGUCUGAGUGGAUUGAUCAAAUCGUUAAAACUUUUAACAAUGGAUCUC
rnacentral:misc_RNA from 1 species